rnacentral:rRNA from 1 species
AUGGCCGGCCAUACUAAUACUUGCAUUCUACCGCGCAAAGAAGGGUUUUUGCUCCCGCAAUAUUACCGGCGGAAGAGGGAGAACCUUAAGCGUAACCGGCCUGUAAGACUGGUAUAACCCCAGGAAACCGGAGCUAAUACCGGAAGCGCCUUGAUGAUAUACAAGGUAACUAGUAGACUGGAGUUCGCACUGAUUAGCCGAUAAACUGACGCAAGUCAAGUAUGACAAGACCGUUCGCAUCAUUCAGAUGACCCGCGGGCAUUAGCUAAUGCGAGUAAACGGAACGACCUAAGAGAAAACGAUGCGUAAACCCACUCAGAGGGGAUCCCUCCACAUCGGGACUGAGAACACGACACGACUCCUACGGGAGGCAGCAGUAGGGAAUCUUCCGCAAUGGACGAAAGUCUGACGGAGCAACGCCGCGUGAGUGAUGAAAGUUUUCCGAUCGUAAACCUCUGUUGUUAGCGAAGAACAAGUGCAAGAGUAACUGCUUGCACCUUGACGGUACCUAACCAGAAAGCCACGGCUAACUACGUGCCAGCAGCCGCGGUAAUACAUAGGUGGCAAAGCGUUGUCCGGAAUUAUUGGGCGUAAAGGGCUCGCAGGCGGUUUCUUAAGUCUGAUGUGAAAGCCCCCGGCUCAACCGGGGAGGGUCAUUGGAAACUGGGAAACUUGAGUGCAGAAGAGGAGAGUGGAAUUCCACGUGUAGCGGUGAAAUGCGUAGAGAUGUGGAGGAACACCAGUGGCGAAGGCGACUCUCUGGUCUGUAACUGACGCUGAGGAGCGAAAGCGUGGGGAGCGAACAGGAUUAGAUACCCUGGUAGUCCACGCCGUAAACGAUGAGUGCUAAGUGUUAGGGGGUUUCCGCCCCUUAGUGCUGCAGCUAACGCAUUAAGCACUCCGCCUGGGGGAGUACGGUCGCAAGACUGAAACUCAAAGGAAUUGACGGGGGCCCGCACAUUAGCGGUGGUAGCAUGUGGUUUAAUUCGAAGCAACAAGAAGAACCUUAACAGGUCAUGACAUCAUCUAGGACAACCCUAGAGAUAGGGAUGUUCCCUUCGGGGACAGAAGUGACAGAUGGUGCAGUGGUGAACAUAGAUGUUGAUCGCUGAGUAGGAUUUUUAAAUCAAGGAAGGAGAUCUCGGACCGAUGCAGCUAGGCAAUGAGCAUCGGGUUGCACCAACAGGACAUCCUGUUUUCAAAAGGCAGAAACCACAUGUUAUUCACGUCGUCUCUGGCAUUUGGACCCCAUGUUUGCAGGGCCGUCAAGGGCAACAAAAAAAAGCUUAAAAGCAAUAGGGUUACGCGGAUGCAUAAAUAACCGAUUCCAAUUCUAUCACAGCUGCAAUAUGAAGUAACGCAGGAUUGAAGAAAAGCUCUCAACAGAGCGUAGCUAUG